AGUCAUAUGCUUGUCUCAAAGAUUAAGCCAUGCAUGUCUAAGUAUAAACACGUUAUACUGUGAAACUGCGAAUGGCUCAUUAAAUCAGUUAUAGUUUAUUUGAUGGUUUUUGCUACAUGGAUAACUGUGGUAAUUCUAGAGCUAAUACAUGCGUAUAAGCCCCGACUUCUGGAAGGGGUGUAUUUAUUAGAUAAAAAUCAACACUGUUGGUGAAUCAUGAUAACUUCUCGGAUCGCAUGGCCUCGUGCUGGCGAUACUUCAUUCAAAUAUCUGCCCUAUCAACUGUCGAUGGUAGGAUAGAGGCCUACCAUGGUUGCAACGGGUAACGGGGAAUAAGGGUUCGAUUCCGGAGAGGGAGCCUGAGAAACGGCUACCACAUCCAAGGAAGGCAGCAGGCGCGCAAAUUACCCAAUCCCGACACGGGGAGGUAGUGACAAUAUGUACCAAUAUACGGCUUUAUCGUCGUAUAAUUGGAAUGAGUACAAUUUAAAUCCCUUAACGAGGAACAAUUGGAGGGCAAGUCUGGUGCCAGCAGCCGCGGUAAUUCCAGCUCCAAUAGCGUAUAUUAAAGUUGUUGCAGUUAAAAGCUCGUAGUUGGACCUUGGGCCUGGACGGGCGGUCCGCCUCACGGCGUGUACUGUCUUGCCGGGCCUUUCCUCUGGUGAUCUGUGUUCGGCAGCAGGGAACCAGGACUUACUUGAAAAAUAGAG
rnacentral:rRNA from 1 species